rnacentral:rRNA from 1 species
UACGGAGGGGCUAGCGUUGUUCGGAAUCACUGGGCGUAAAGGGCGCGUAGGCGGCUCAUGAAGGCUGUGGUGAAAGUCCGGGGCUCAACCUCGGAUCGGCCGUGGCGACUCGUGGGCUGGAGCACUGUAGAGGCGGGUGGAAUUCCGGGUGGAGUGGUGAAAUGCGUAGAGAUCCGGAGGAACACCAAAGGCGAAGGCAGUGUCCUGGGGAGUACCUGACGCUCAGGUGCGAAAGCCAGGGAGCGAACGGG